rnacentral:rRNA from 1 species
AACGCUAGCUACAGGCUUAACACAUGCAAGUCGAGGGGCAGCAUUUCAGUUUGCUUGCUUACUGGAGAUGGCGACCGGCGCACGGGUGAGUAACACGUAUCCAACCUGCCGAUAACUCGGGGAUAGCCUUUCGAAAGAAAGAUUAAUACCCGAUGGUAUAAUCAGACCACAUGGUCUUAUUAUUAAAGAAUUUCGGUUAUCGAUGGGGAUGCGUUCCAUUAAGCAGGUGGUGAGGUAACGGCUCACCAAACCUUCGAUGGAUAGGGGUUCUGAAAGGAAGGUCCCCCACGUUGGAACUGAAACACGGUCCAAACUCCUACGGGAGGCAGCAGUGAGGAAUAUUGGUCAAUGGGCGCAGGCCUGAACCAGCCAAGUAGCGUGAAGGAUGACUGCCCUAUGGGUUGUAAACUUCUUUUAUAUGGGAAUAAAGUUUUCCACGUGUGGAAUUUUGUAUGUACCAUAUGAAUAAGGAUCGGCUAACUCCGUGCCAGCAGCCGCGGUAAUACGGAGGAUCCGGGCGUUAUCCGGAUUUAUUGGGUUUAAAGGGAGCGUAGGUGGACAGUUAAGUCAGUUGUGAAAGUUUGCGGCUCAACCGUAAAAAUUGCAGUUGAUACUGGCUGUCUUGAGUACAGUAGAGGUGGGCGGAAUUCGUGGUGUAGCGGUGAAAUGCUUAGAUAUCACGAAGAACUCCGAUUGCGAAGGCAGCUCACUGGACUGCAACUGACACUGAUGCUCGAAAGUGUGGGUAUCAAACAGGAUUAGAUACCCUGGUAGUCCACACAGUAAACGAUGAAUACUCGCUGUUUGCGAUAUACAGUAAGCGGCCAAGCGAAAGCAUUAAGUAUUCCACCUGGGGAGUACGCCGGCAACGGUGAAACUCAAAGGAAUUGACGGGGGCCCGCACAAGCGGAGGAACAUGUGGUUUAAUUCGAUGAUACGCGAGGAACCUUACCCGGGCUUAAAUUGCAUUUGAAUAAUCUGGAAACAGGUUAGCCGCAAGGCAAAUGUGAAGGUGCUGCAUGGUUGUCGUCAGCUCGUGCCGUGAGGUGUCGGCUUAAGUGCCAUAACGAGCGCAACCCUUAUCUUUAGUUACUAUCAGGUCAUGCUGAGGACUCUAGAGAGACUGCCGUCGUAAGAUGUGAGGAAGGUGGGGAUGACGUCAAAUCAGCACGGCCCUUACGUCCGGGGCUACACACGUGUUACAAUGGGGGGUACAGAAGGCAGCUACCUGGUGACAGGAUGCUAAUCCCAAAAGCCUCUCUCAGUUCGGAUCGAAGUCUGCAACCCGACUUCGUGAAGCUGGAUUCGCUAGUAAUCGCGCAUCAGCCAUGGCGCGGUGAAUACGUUCCCGGGCCUUGUACACACCGCCCGUCAAGCCAUGAAAGCCGGGGGUACCUGAAGUACGUAACCGAAAGGAGCGUCCUAGGGUAAAACUGGUAA